GAUGAACGCUGGCGGCGUGCCUAAUACAUGCAAGUCGAGCGAACAGAUGAGGAGCUUGCUCCUCUGACGUUAGCGGCGGACGGGUGAGUAACACGUGGAUAACCUACCUAUAAGACUGGGAUAACUGCGGGAAACCGGAGCUAAUACCGGAAAAUAUAUUGAACCGUAUGGUUCAAUAGUGAAAUGCGGUUUUGCUGUCACUUAUAGAUGGAUCCGCGGCGCAUUAGCUAGUUGGUAAGGUAACGGCUCACCAAGGCAACGAUGCGUAGCCGACCUGAGAGGGUGAUGGGGCACAAGGGGAUGUGGACACGGCCCAGACUCCUGCGGGAGGCAGCAGUAGGGAAUGUGCCGCAAUGGACGAAAGUCUGACGGAGCAACGGCGCGUGAGAGAAGAAUGCCUUCGGGUCGUAAAGCUCUGUUGUUAGGGAAGAACAAGUAGCGUUCGAAUAGGGCGGUACCUUGACGGUACCUAACCAGAAAGCCACGGCUAACUACGUG
rnacentral:rRNA from 1 species